CCUACGGGACGCAGCAGUGGGGAAUAUUGGGCAAUGGGCGCAAGCCUGACCCAGCAACGCCGCGUGAAGGAAGAAGGCUUUCGGGUUGUAAACUUCUUUUGUCAGGGACGAAGCAAGUGACGGUACCUGACGAAUAAGCCACGGCUAACUACGUGCCAGCAGCCGCGGUAAUACGUAGGUGGCGAGCGUUAUCCGGAAUGAUUGGGCGUAAAGGGUGCGCAGGCGGUCCUGCAAGUCUGGAGUGAAACGCAUGAGCUCAACUCAUGCAUGGCUUUGGAAACUGGAGGACUGGAGAGCAGGAGAGG
rnacentral:rRNA from 1 species